GAACGUAUCCACAAGGACAACAACCGACUACAAUAACCACGAGAUCUCAGGCCCAUUGACUCUUCAGGACUACUCUAGUGCCGCAGAAUAUAUGACUGCUUUCUCAUAGGAGGAUGGCUGCUAAAUGACUGUGUCCUUACCAAUAUUGACCUGGUUUAUGGCCUUGAACUGCAACAGCAGAACCCUUCCAUGAACUUUCCUUUUUUUAUUUAUUUUUUUGCUUUCCUUUUUGCUUUCUUACU